GACUUAAAAUCCGUUGGCUUUAUUGACCGUGAGGGUUCAAGUCCCUCUACCCCCAA
rnacentral:tRNA from 6 species